GGCUGGGGGAAAUCUCCCGUGAGAGCAGGGCUCUGAGCUGUGUUUCCCUCUCCCCCAGAUGGGUCUCGAGCCUGCAGCCAGCCCCUGGCUCUCCAGCCCCGCCUUUCGCAGGACGUUUUUCCCGGAGGUGCAGCCGAGCAAGGGGGAGGAGGAGGAACUGAAGAGCCGACUGCAGCUGCUGGAGCCCAGCUGUGGGCCUCAUCCCCGCAGCCCGACCUGUCUCAGCCGGACAGCCAGGAUGGUGCUGUCAGCGGCCCAGUCGCGCAGCCGCACUCUCCAGCCGGGCCCCAGCGCCACCUCUUUGGCUGCUGAGAGAUCGGGGAGCAGCCGGGGACAGCAGGGUGAAGAUCCAGCCGUGAACCGUGAGUCGGUUGCAGCCAUGUGGGGACUCGAGUGGGAUCCCCCAAGCUCCUUCUCUGCCCAGCUGAGCUGGGGAUACUGCAGCCCUCUCCAAAGCUGUCCUGCCCCCUCGGGUGGGAUCAGCAGCUGCUGUUCUGGCACGCGCUCCCGUAAUGAUCCAGAGAGCGAUGGGCAUCUGGGAGGACCUGGCAUGGUGCCCUCUGCCCAGCUGGCGAAAAGCACUCACGGGGCCCCACUGCUGAAAGUGCUGCCUACGGACCCGAGGGGCCUGGUUGGAUCCUGGGCUUCUGGAAUAUGCCCAGGCAGCUGAUGGGGAAUGUCCCCCUCUGCCCCGGGUAAGGUCAGUUCUCAGCCAACAGAGGGAUGAGCUCUCACCGUUGCUGGGAAGAUGAGCACUAUUGGUCCCAUCCAGGCUGACCCUCCCCACAGCCAAGGCAGGACUGGCCCUACGCUCUUUGGUGGAGCCCCCAGCUGGCCCAUCUCUUCCCUAGAGGCAGGCACCAAAGGCUGUGAAACCGCUCUGAUCUCUGGGCUGGUGACAGCCCUCAGAGAUGGGCUUUCCACCGGGAGACUGUCCCACAGGAGGAGCUCUCGCUGUUGGCAGCUUCUGUUCCAUUUCCUCCAGUUGCUCUUCGUUCCAGCCCCCUCCUGCUCUAGCCAGCUCCCCUCUCUCCUUGGGGUCUCAACCCUCCUAGCGAAGAGCUCAUGCCCCCCCAAGAUAGCUAAGCACCAUCAGCCCCUGAUCCCCUGGUGCAGACUCCAUGGGCUGGGCUUACCUGGUGUCCAUCUCAGCCAGUGAAUCAUGUCCCUCCUCCAUGUGUUCGUGGCUCAGCAUCGCCAUUCAAAACUGCUGCUUGU
rnacentral:lncRNA from 1 species